GCAUUGUGGCGCAGAGGAAGCGUGUCAGGCUCAUAACCUGAAGGUCGGACGGAUCGAUACCUCCCAAUGCUAA
rnacentral:tRNA from 1 species